rnacentral:lncRNA from 1 species
GGGACAUAGGAGAUUUUGCAACCUUGAUGAUUCUCUGACCUUCAAAAACGUGAAAACCAAACCAUAUGAAUGAAACAUUCUUCCUAGUUACUGUGACCUUACAAAUGCUUAACGUACCUGACUUGGCUUCAAGAACCAACCGGAUGGUUACAGCAUGAUCCCAGUUAAUCCCCAACGCAGCAACAAGGUGAGAAUCAUACGUCCUUGUGUGUUCUUGAAAUCUAUCUUUCAUGUUAGCUGUUACAGACAAAAUAUAUGAUUGUGGUAGACUGCACUGAUGAAGUCAACACAACACUACUGUACCUUUGAAGGAAUAUGUGCAAAUUCAGCAAGUGAUCUGUAAAAUGGCAGGGAAUAAUUUAUCAAUGUUUUUUUGUAACGGAUUAAAUAUCAAUGUUAAAGAUGAAGUACGAUAAAAAUGGUUAUGUAAGAAUGAUAAAAAUGAAUAAUAUAUCAUUAAUGACAAUCAUAUAUUUAAUUUGAAUACGAAUAGCAAUUUGUGUAAUAUUUUAUAUGAAACCAAAGUUGUUUUUAUAAUGUACCUUUUAAAAUUUGAAAAACCUUUGGCAAAAAAUGUACCUCUUAAUAGAUUAGAUUUUGAUAACAAAUCCAUAUUUAUUGUUGUGAUAAUGGUUAGUUUAUUGUUGGGAUAUGAUCAAGUUCAUACAAAAACACAUUUAAUAAAAUUUCUAAGGAACUGUCCAACUAUAAAAAUCACAUAUGAAACAUGUUGUGUAUUUAUGAUUUACUAGUACUUCUAAUCCGUGUUUUAAAACUCAAGAUUAUUUUUAUGUAAAUUUUUAUUUCAAUCAAACAUAUAUUUUAUUUUAUUUUUACAUACUGUUUUGGUGUAUAUCUUUUGGUAAUAAUUUAAAUUUUGUUGACAGUUUUAUUUUUAAGUAUAUGAUAUAUAUAAUUAACUAAAUUUUAACUUAUUUUAAAUAUAAAAUAUUUUUAUUUUAUUUUUAUGUGUUUUCUAUUUUUAUGAAAAAUAAAAAAUAUAUUUAUGAAAAUGAAUACGAAACUGCAAAGGAUGCGGCUAGUCAACCAUCGUUGAAGUCACAAUCGUCUCUAGUCCGUAGAAGGAUCUAAAGAAACAAGACAUGAAUAAAUGCAGAGACACAUACAAUAGGCAUGUAUAUGUUUGAUUACAGAUUUAAUAGGUUCAUCUAAGUAGAAGAAUAUGAAUAAGUCAAGAAUCUGAAAUAAAGAAUCACUUAGGAGGCGGACGAGAGUGUAAAUUGGCAGAAGUAACAUAUAUAAGAUUGUUAGAAUUUACAAAGCCUAUGUGUUAUUAGUUUAUGGAUUUUUACAUUUGCAAUAAAAUCUAAUGUUAUUGGUUUAUUAAUUUUAUAAAUUUAUAUAAAAUGGUUUUUAAAAAAAUAAUAAUAAUUUUAAUGAUUCUACAAAUCUAUUAAAGUUACUGUUAUUGGAUAUUAUAUUCUUAACCAUUUAACACAUAUUAUAUGAUUUUGAAAAUAAUACAUAUGUUUUUAGAUUAUUUAAAAUUUAAAAUUAUUAUAGUAAUUUCUUUUCAUAGAAUUUCACAAUGCACAAAAUUCUCUCCAAUUCUUUUUAAAUUUCAACAAAUCUCUAAACUCAACAAAUUCUAUAUAAGUAUAACUCCCAUAACACCUCGAAAGUUAAUAACACUAGUUUGCUUUUGUUCUGUGGCAAAACAUAUGAAAAGGUAGUAAUCAUUAAUUACUAAUAAAGAUGUGUUGUUUCAGUUAUGUUUAGAGUAUCCUAUUACACCAACUAAAAAUAUUAAAAUUGUAGAAAUUAAUAUAUAACGUUUGAAGAGACUGGACUCAUUAUUAAGGGUAUAGAGAUGAAGCGAUUUCCGAAAUUUUGAAAGUAUCUAUGAUCCACUUCAUUUUUUGGAUCAGCAUUUUAUGAUUCAUAUUUACUUUGUUAUAAUCUAAGUAUUAAGUAAGUAUUUGGAUACUGACAACGUAUAUAUAAAAAAAAUACAGGACAACCCUUUACCAAAUAAUAAAUAGACUGUAGUAUUGUGAAAGCAGUGCCGGUUAAACUGUCUGAAACAUUAGCUUUUCUAAGAAAGUUUAAUUGAACUAAUGACCCACUAUUAAUGUUUGUAUCAGCACGCCGUUGAUUCGCCUUUGCUUUAUUCCAUUACGAGCAGUCCCCGUUAAAGUUAAUCAUGUCGCUGUGCCCUGCAUAGUCCUCAUCUAUAGUAUUAGACCUUUUAUAUUUGAAACAAUACUAACUCUGCGACGUAACAGGGGAUCAAUAAUACCUCGAGCAUGAAUGUUGUUGAUUCCUGGGCCUUUCAGCUCAGUCCCGUCGUCGCUCAGCAAUGAGAUUCCAGCUGAAGUUAUAUGGAACGGGAACGCUAGAGGAGGUGACAUAGGAGAUUUUGCAACCUUGAUGAUUCUCUGACCUUCAAAAACGUGAAAACCAAACCACAUGAAUGAAACAUUCUUCGUAGCUACUGUGACCUUACAAAUGCUUUAACGUACCGGACUUGGAUUCAAGAACCAACCGGAUAGUUACAGCAUGAGCCCAGUUGAUCCCUAAAGCAGCAACGAGAUGAGAAUCAUACGUCCUUGUGUGUUCUUGAAAUCCAUCUUUCAGUUUAGCUGUUACAGAGAAAAUAUAUGAUUGUGGUAGAGUGCAACAAAACAGUAAAAAGACACUUCAGUUUCUG